CGCCUAUGUUGGAGUGCAUGCCAGGGUGCUCCCAGUUGUUGGAUGCACUCUAGGAGUCAAUAAAUAGGAAGGAUUCUAACACUCAAUAUAGAAAUGUGGUGGACUGCAUGCCUGUGUGCUCCCAGUUGUCUAAUGCAUGCUGGCAUCCAUAAAUGAGAAGGAUUUUAGCACUCAAUACAGGAAUGAGAUCCUCUUUAGCGCACAUUCGACGGUAGGGAUCCUCUUGGGGUGUGCGCCUGUAUGUUCAAGUGCGUGCCAGGGUGUUCCUAGCUGUCAAAUGCACACUAGGUGCCAGUUGCAAUGGAGAUGAUUUAGAUACCUCAAUAUAAAGGGUUAUCCUUCUCAAACAAGAGUCAGAGAGAAAAUUGAACAUUUUCCAUCUUUAUAUUGUUAGUUUUUCUCCUCAAGAGCUAUGUCAUGUGUUUCUCUAUAUGCUGAUUAAGUCUGAAAUGUUUGAGCUCAAUGUCGACCAAAAUUCUAUGAGAAUUGGUGAAGGAAGUAGUACAAGAUAGAUCAUCAGUUUUAAGUCCAAGAGCUAUAUCAAUUUUCACCUUGUAUGCGCUGAAGAAGCCCAUGGGAAACAAUAAUCCUCCUUAGGGAGAAUUCACACAUGUUGUCUCAGUGAUGCAUGAAAGAAAUUCAAGAAAUUGUAGUAUCUAUUAUAAAGAGAGUUCCGAACAAAGGCAGGAGAUGAGAUUGGUUUGGCAUCCUAUUCGCCAUCAGAUAAUAUCAUUUUUGCAUCAAAGGCAGGAGAUGAGAUUCACUACAUCAAAUGGUGAACACCAGGGAUACAUGACUCUUAAGCACAUUUGCAUGCACUUUCUUUGUUGCAAGUAUGAAGCAGUCUUGAGCAAAGUUACGUGCAAAACUACACAGAGCUUUAAUCAUCUUCACCAAAUCAGGACCUUCCCUCCCAACCCAUACAAGAAAUGAAACCCAAAUGGCAUGAACAGCUCCAACACCGAUGGUAUCCCAAGCCAAGGGAAAGCCUUAUCCAGGAUCCGGCUCGUCUUCGCGAGCCCUCGUGUGGCACGGGAAACUCCACUGACCUCAACGGAGAACACUUCCUUGUUCCAAAUGCUGAGCACAGCCCAAGACUCAGGUGGGUAUGAGAGGAAAUGGUCCACAUUGGGAGGGAACCGCGAUGAAGGUGUCGAGAUUAAGACGGUUGUAGAGGAUGGCAUCGAUGUCUCUAGGGAAGAACUCGGUGGUGGAGAAUCGGCGGCGAUAGAGUGAUUCGGCUUUGGCACCUUCAUCGCUUUCAAUCGUGUAAUAUUCUCUUGGAUCUGAGGAUCU